AAUACAGAAGUAAAUGCUGAAGAAGAGAUUUCAUUCAUGGCCCAUGGGAAUUCCAGAUCCUCCAGAAAGUGCCCAAAGCUGAAUAAAGGCAACAUGAGUCACCACCACCUCUGACUGACUCCUCACCACGGUCUCCAAUGAACCCAGGACAACGAACUCUUCCAGCUUAUUUGGGAAGGUUACGACACAGAAAUGCAGAGAGAAGACGAUAUGAAGAGACACAGGGAGAAGAUAGCCAUCUACAAGCCAAAGCAAGAGGUCUGGACUAGAUUCUCCAUCAAAGCUCUCAGAAAGCACCAACCCCGCUGACACCCAGAUCCCGGACCCUGGCCUCUAAAUGUACACAAUAAACUUGUGUUGUUUAAGGUG